GUUGAACGCUGGCGGCAUGCUUUACACAUGCGAGUCGAACGGAAACAGGCCGCAAGGUGCUGUCGAGUGUCGGACGGGUGCGUAAUGCAUCGGAACGUGCCCAGUCGUGGUGGGUCACUACUCGCAAGAGUAGCUAAUACCUCAUACGAUCUAUGGAUGAAAGCGGGGGAGCGUAAGGCUUCGCGCGGUUGUAGCGGCCGAUGUUAGAUUAGGUAGUUGGUGGGGUAAAGGCUCACCAAGUCAACGAUCUGUAGCUGGUCUGAGAGGACGACCAGCCACACUGGGACUGAGACACGGCCCAGACUCCUACGGGAGGCAGCAGUGGGGAAUUUUGGACAAUGGGCGCAAGCCUGAUCCAGCAAUGCCGCGUGAAGGAAGAAGGCCUUCGGGUUGUAAACUGCUGUUGUACGGAACGAAACGGUUCUGGUGAAUACCCGGAGAUAAUGACGGUACCGUAAGAAUAAGCACCGGCUAACUACGUG
rnacentral:rRNA from 1 species